UUCAAUUUCGUUGUCCUCCCCCAAAAAUUCCAUUCUUGAAUCCUCAGCUCUUUCUUCCCAGCACAUUGGCACUUCUUCAGUCCCCGAUCCCGUAUGCAAUCGCACACUUGAUCACUCGGCUUCCAAAAACCCUUUCACAAAUCCAAUCGCACUGUCCCACUUGCUGUCAAAUUCCUCAAACACUACGAUGGCGCCUCCUCCUGGACCCUAUUCCGGCACCAGCACCCUCGCUUUAGUAAAUUACAUAUCUCUUCGACGUUUUUUUCCCCAGUAGUAUACGUACAAAGAUAUGCUAAAUUGUAAUGUAUUUCUACGGAUGUCAGGUGGUUCGAGUGUCCGCUUUUUCAUUAGGGCUUAUCUACGGAAACAUGAAACUCAAGAUUAUUAGGGUACUGUAAUUUUAAAUUUUCUGACUGAUCCUUUCGAUUUUAUUUUAUUUUUUAAUUUUUGGUUGCAUUAAAUAGAAAGAAAGAAAUAAGUUUGUGUUGAGCUAUAUUUUGUUCUUAAUUGAUUGGUGGUAUUUCAGUAAUUUUGUUCCACUUUAAGUUUCUUAGGUUAAUUGAUUUUGGGGGUUUAUCUAAGUGGGAAAUGUUGGUUAUAUGUAGAUCAGGUAAUUCAAGCUGAAUUAUUCUGUUUUAAGAUUGGGAUUAUGUUUGCUGUGUUUUUGUUCUGUUUUGUUUGGAUGAAACAAGAUUAAAAGAGCAACGUUGGGAGCUUCAAAGUUGAGAUUUGGGGGAUGGACAAAUUGAAGACAGAAAAUGGAACCAAAGGAUGGCCCUUAGCGUAGGCUGGUGAAAUUGGACUAUGUUACGAUUUUUCUUGGAAUCCAUUAUAAUGAAGGCUAACCAAAUACGUAUUUAGAAUUGCGGGAAAAAGAACAUUUCCAUUUAAUUAUUCGAGGAAGAUCAUUUCAGACUAAUCCCAGAACUUAGAUGGGUAUGCUGUGUUAGGGCCAGAAUAAUGUCUUUGUAAUGCUUGAAGAUCACAGUGCUUUCUGGUCACUGUUUAAUUUUCUCAUUGCAAUUGCAAAUUAUAUUCAGUACUAAAGAGAAUGGUCUCCCUUGUUUUUUGUUGUAAGACCACUUUUUUCCUUGGUCAUGCAUGAUAUUAGCUAAUUAGAAGAUAGACAAACUUUAUGUGCUUGAUUGCCUUAGUUGAUAAUCUUGACUCAGUAAGAAUCUUGGUGCUUCUAUAUGCUAGCAUUUGUCGUACGGUGUUGGUUAACUUUUUGUUUUUUCAAAUUGGUCUAACUGAGAAGUGGUUAUCUUUAUGGGACACGAACUUUGCAACGGAAGACAAUUAUUUUGAAGAUUAUCACAAAUAAUACAAAAAUCUUGCGUCAGUCCAUUCCUAUGGGUUUGGUACACUUAAAAAACUUGCAACAAGAAUUUAGACACACACGUGCUGUCAUAAUCUUCUUCAAAGUAGCAGAGUAUUAACAUCCACCUUUGCCCAACACAAGAAGAAACUAAACCUGUUUCACAAUAAACUUGGAGUAGAUUACAUGAAUGGUCCGUUCCAUUGCAUUUAUCCACAUCUGAACAUGGCUAGUGUUUUUGUUUUUUCUUUUCUUGAGCAUUUCUUGACAAGCUUGGAAAUCUGAAGUCAUGAUUUUAUAUACUUUCCUGGUCAAAGGUUGUUUAUAGACAUUCGUAUAUCAAUAUGUUGUAGCUGGUCAAAUGCUGAUAUCUUGGGCUGUCUAAUUUCACCAGGCGAAGUCCAAGUCUCAUAAGAAAGCUGAAGCGAAAGGUAACCACUGAAGGAGGGCAAUGUUGUGUUUUGGCUAUCUGAUAGAAAUAUUGAGUGAAAAAAUGUAGGGGUUCUAUUCUGUCCUGUUGGGUAGAACCUUCAUCUACUUGUGAAUGUUGCAUUUUCUUGAGAAUUCUUACAUGUUUCACGCUUUGAUGACUCAGUAUUGGUUCAGUUAGUUUCCAUACUCUACUGAUGAUCGCAGAAGUCAGAUAAAUAUAGUUUCUUCAAGUAAAAUAACUAUUUAUAAUCAGGUCUUUGAGAUAGAGGCGAGUUGCUAGCACUUCAUUGGACAUUUCUAUGGCUUCCAUUAUGAAAUGUAUUUUAUUGUUUUGGCUAUGUUUACAUAUAUAGGGAUCGACACGACAGAAAUGUGUUGAAUCUUGGAGGAAGAUCUGAAGGAAAUGAAGGAGAGUACUAUGGAGAGAGGAUUUGAGAAACAAAAUAUAAUAUUACAAUUGAAAUAUUUUCGAUGUAAACUGUUUUUUAAGCAUCAAGGCUUGACCCAUCAAUCUUUAACCUGAGCAAGACAAGCUUGUAUUGUGUAUUUGGGCUGACCAAAAUUAUAUGGUCACGUUUCAGUUGUGAAAAAAUGACUCAGGUUCCAAGAAUAGUUGUAAUUGGAGUCUAAUUUUAAAGGCUAUCUGACCCAGAUACCUACAUGUGCCAAUUCAGUAGUAAUGGAG
rnacentral:lncRNA from 1 species